rnacentral:piRNA from 1 species
UCCUUUCCAGUUAGCCCACUUACUGAGU